ACCUGCCCGGUGAUAGUUUUAAACGGCUGCGGUAUUCUGACUGUGCGAAGGUAGCAUAAUCACUUGCUUUAUAAUUGAAGGCUGGUAUGAAGGGUUUGACGAAAGUAAUGCUGUCUUGAUUAGAUUUUUUAGAAUUUAACUUUUAGGUGAAAAGGCCUAAAUUUAAUUAAUAGACAAGAAGACCCUAUCGAGCUUGAAGGAAUUAAUGGAUGAGAGAUGAUAAAGCAUGUAUUAUGUAAUUUAAUUUUAUUAAGGUAUUUUAGUUGGGGUGACUGGGGAACAUAUAGAGCUUCCUUGAAAGGUUGUUUUAUUAUAAUUAUUGAUCCAGUAGUGUGCUGAUUUUUAGAUCUAGUUACCGUAGGGAUAACAGCAUAAUCUUUUUUGAGAGUUCUUAUCGAAAAGAAGGUUUGUGACCUCGAUGUUGGAUUAGAAUUUCCUGAGGGUGUAGAAGCUCA
rnacentral:rRNA from 1 species